GAUGAAGAACGUAGCGAAAUGCGAUAAGUAAUGUGAAUUGCAGAAUUCAGUGAAUCAUCGAAUCUUUGAACGCACAUUGCGCCCCUUGGUAUUCCGAGGGGCAUGCCUGUUCGAGCGUCAUUAUAACCCUCAAGCUCAGCUUGGUGUUGGGGCCUGCUGCAGUGGCAGCCCUUAAAAUCAGUGGCGGCGCCAUCUGGCUCUAAGCGUAGUAAUUCUUCUCGCUAUGGAGUCCUGGUGGAUGCUUGCCAUCAACCCCCAAUUUUUCUAAGGUUGACCUCGGAUCAGGUAGGGAUACCCGCUGAACUUAAGCAUAUCAAUAAGCGGAGGA
rnacentral:misc_RNA from 1 species